CUUCGUCCAUGCGGUCGACUUUUACCGCGCUGCCUCGCAUUGCGUGUUGUAUAUUGUGGUUACUGACGUAAGAGCAAGCUCUUCACUCGGUAUUAUACGCCGUACCGGGCAAAUAGUCACCAGAUGCCGGCCGUGCGACUCCAAUAUCCGCGACUCCUUUGUUCAGCGUGAACGACGGACGCGAUACAGUUUUGAAGAACACCUUCAAAUGAUUCCGCACGUCAGUGAGUAGCAGCGCCGCAAUCCUUUCUCGCCGACGUGCUCUGUGGCCCUGCAAAAUGCCUUGACGCUCUGGGAUGGCUGGACGCGGGUAGCUUGGCGAUUCCUCGCUUGGCGCAUCGCUUGAAAACCGCCGGUCAGCCUGCAGUGUACGCCGCCGGCGUGCUUUCUUGCCAGAGGUAGCAAACAGCAGUGCCACGACAAACAGAGGAGUGCUGACCAUGCAGUCCAGAUGGUGGCCGAGGCAAACAUGCCAAAAGGGGUGCUUAUUCAGGCAGAAGCAAUAAGCAUCUGUAGCCAACGUAAAGGAAGCAUCUUCAAAGAGCAGUGCUACAUGGAUGUGAGCAGCAGUCCCCCUUCAACGAACGGGUCAAAUUCAUGGAAGCCACGUGCCUGCUGCUUCUGGCCUACGCAAACAUGCAGGCACCAUAGUAAAGUUCUUGCAAAGAUGUGAGACAUCCGUAUGCUGCAUCAAUUGAGCAUGUUAAUUGCGUGUUUUUUAUAGCUUAUACUGAUAUGUAUACAAGUGUACUUCCUUGCAAUGUAUAUUUAAAUUCUCUUAAACGGCCAGUCAGCAGGCUCUGACCUCUUUUUUUUUUUACACCUCCCAAACAAGCUCGCUAAUUCGUAGAGAGGGCCGCACAAAUCACAUUGUGCGAAUAUCACAGACACUCCGCUUCUAAAAACAAUAACCGCGCCUCCUCUUCAGUCCUUGACCAGUCCUCUUUGGUAGCAAAGGGGUGUAAUGUUGCUCAUGAGCAACAUUAAAUAACGCUGAGUGUCGAAUAGUCCUCUGCAAUAUCAAACGGAAUUUUGGCUCUGCGAGGAUGCAGUAUAGGCUGUGUGGUUGUCACGAGUGUUAUGAAUUUAUCUUGCCAGUGCUUUGAACUGUGCUUCCUCACCACACAGCCCUGGCACAGUAGCACAUCGAGGAAGCCCCUCUUCACGAUGGUGAGACUGAGUGAGAAACUGAAACCAGCUGGAAUGUUUGUUUUGUCCCCUGUGGCUUCAUUAUUGCACCACUUAAUCAAAAUAUUCUUGGGGCAACAUGUUCACAUUGUACAAGCCUGCAGUUCUCACAAACGUUAGACUCCGGGGUCGUUUAGUGGCCCUUAAGCUUUAAUUUAUGAAUGGUAACUUCACAUGUAACGUGGCUUUCUUCUUUAUUUUUUCAAUGCUCAUUUCUAAAAUAGCAUGUCAGCUUCUGUCAGUCGGUAAUUUAUACAUUUAGCAUACAAAACUACCUAGUAUAUGCAAUAAGUGCCAUUAUGCAUUUUUCUUGGCACCAGAACCACCUUUUUGCCCUGUGGCAGCCAAAUGGAAGUUCAUUGCUAUGCUGCUUUGAUCUUUUCAAUCAAUGCAUUUCACAGUCCAGGUUGUUUGGUGUAUUUGCAUCUUGAGGUGUACAGACAUUCUACACAAACUUGUCCAAAGGCGCAAGGAAGGCACGCACAGAUGGACACAGAAAUCAUGGGACUUCCACAGAAGCUGUGAAUGAGCAUUAACCUAUGGAUGGAUGCUAUGGGUGUUCCCUUUAAAGCGAAGCACUGACAUACGUACAGAAAGGAGCGAAGUGGAGCUGCCAUGGGCUGUGCACACAGCUUCUAAGCAGGCUUACAACACCUUUGACAAUUAUGUUCUUGAAUAUAUCUGCAAAAGUGGCAUUUAAA